UUGACAGGGAGCUCUGGGGCAGAGGAAGGAAGGGAGGAAGGAAAGUAGGAAGAACGGAAAAGCCUCUAUCAACCUUUGAUACAGUUUGGAAAUCAACUUUGGAGGUUUGUCAGACUGGCUUAAAAUAGCAUCUGGCUUGUCCAGUGUUUGCUGCGCAGAGAGAAUACGGUGUUGUAUCUGCAAAAAUUCACCUCAGCUCCAUCACAGACUGGUCUUCUCUGGCUGCCUGACCCUGUUGAGACCCUUGUCACCAUCUGAUCCUUCUAAGGUUAUGGAAGGGAAAUUUGGUUUUAUCUCGAUUACCGGGAUGAAAAUAUCAUGGUUGUGCAGAGAGUGUGAAGAGCAACGCCAGUUUCAGGAGAGGAGAUUAAACAUUGAUUAUGUAUGCAUAAUGAAGUCACUCUUGUCUGGCCUGGCCUGGCCUGGGCUGGAACAACUGUUUUCCUUUACUUAGCAGAGAGAGAGAGAAGAUAGGGAAGAUAGAGAGAGAGGGAGACAGAGAGAGAGGAGGGAGACAGAGAGCACAGAGAGAGAUAAGAGCAGAGAGAGAGAGAGAGAGAGAGAGAGAGAGAGAGAAAACACAGGGAGCGAGCAGAGAUUAGUUGAAAGGACCAGAGGCAAACACAAGAGGCUAGCGGAG
ensembl:lncRNA